rnacentral:rRNA from 1 species
GAUGAACGCUGACAGAAUGCUUAACACAUCAGCAAUUGAUUGGUGGCGGACGGGUGAGUAACGCGUACAGAACUUGCCUCACAGCUAGGGACCACAUUUGGAAACGAAUGCUAAUACCUAAUACUGUGAGAGAGCUUUGCGUCCCAUUAGCUAGUUGGAGAGGUAACGGCUCACCAAGGCGAUGAUGGGUAGCCAGCCUGCGAGGGUGAUCGGCCCCAAGGUGACAGGGAAACGGCCCUUACGCCUUCGGGAGGCAUCAGUGAGGAAUAGUGGACAAUGGACCAAAGUCUGAACCAGCAAUUCUGUGUGCACGAUGAAGUUUUCGGAAUGUAAAGUGCUUUCAGUUGGGAAGCGGUACCAACAGAAGAAGUGACGGCUAAAUACGUGCCAGCAGCCGCGGUAAUAC